UGCGUCUUCUCGACCUACCUGGAUAGACAGGUGUAUCUAUAGGUGUACUUGUGUCUUCUCGACCUACCUGGAUAGACAGGUCAAUCUGUAGGUGUCUGUGUGUCUGUUAUUGCUCCUGUAAGUGUUUAUCAAAUUAUCUCAACAAAAUAAAUAUGUUAAACUACU